CCGAAUAUAUGCAAAAUACCCCUGGUUUCCAUCUCGAAUUUUCUGUCCCUCCGGUCCACCUCCGGCUCGUCCGCCGACGGCGCCUCGCUGCCGCCGCCCUCCCCACCUUCCGUGCUAGCAGGGAGCGCGAAGCCCCAUCUCCAUCCGAUGCGCUCAACUCAAGCCCUAGCACCCCACUCCUUCACUCUCUACUCCCGCAGCAACUCCGCCUGAACGCGCCGCCGCCUCCCGCGCCGCGCCACUCCAGCCCGCCUCACACCCGCCGGCGCCGGCUCCGCCACCACCCGCCGCCAGGCUCAGCCACCUCCAUUCCCCUUUGGUCAGCAAUUACCUCCUUCGAACGCGUCAGUUUAAUUAGAGUUUACGACAUGAAGGUUCAGAUGACUCUGCUAAUUACAUUUCAUUUUCGCAAGUAUGAUUCUUGGUGAACUGCCUUCAUCAAUCCCAUUGGAUUCCUCAUCCGUAGGUUAGCCUUUGAAGGAUGUUCACUGGAGCUAGAUCAUCUAAGGAAACCAUCCUCACUUGAAGAUUUUGGUUUUAGUUACAACAAAAGAGUCAAAAUGGCAGACUGUGUCAAGCCAGAAGACAGGGACAUUCAUAGUGGUUUAUCCACUUCAACUUCAAUGGUGCUACCCUGGAUCUUGGAAGUGUUGUCUGGACAAUGCUUCAUGGCUCCAUUUUCUUUGGUUCUACGUAGGAAGGUAGAAAAAAUGCCAAAACACCCAGAUCUACAUUUCUCAACUUUGGUUUGUACUUCUGCACCCUGGACCUUCCAGAGAAUGGAUGGUGCUGUGUCAAGGACCUGGGCGCCUAGAGUCGGAGGCCCCUGACUCCUCAGUUCAUAACUCGAACCAGGUAAUGGAGGUACCAGGGUUUUUGCCUGACUACCACAGCAGGAGGUGAGAUUAAGAACAACAGAGAGGGGGGGAGGUUUGGGUUUAACUUCUUUUUCCUCCCUCCUUCAACGAGUACAGGGGUACCUAUAGGAGCUCUGCUCCAUUGCUACUUGCGCCAGCCAUUAACUGCUAGCUGGCUAAUUAAUUCCUUAAUCUCUUCAACUUCUACUUAAUUGCCUUAGAGAUUGCAGCCCCUCCAGCCGCCUAAACCUCCUUGGGUUCUUCCAGGCCAUGCGCACCCUUGAGUGCUGCUCCGGCUGCACCUCGUGUUCGAGGCCGGCGGCUGUACUGUCGGCCCCACAUGACAUGCUCACUGUGCUUGUGAGCGCCCCAUCUUGACUUGUCACCCCGGUGAUCCUUUGCUCUGAGUAUGUUUCUCUACCAAAUGGAGCUCGAGCUGUUAUCUAGAAAACAGCUUGACCAGGGUCCGUCGCACCUGGAGAAAACAAAGAACCUAACGAGGUCAUGAGACACGGACCUUAAACAUUGAACCAUCACUAUGGGAACUGGAUCAGCUACUUGCAAGAGUUGCAACCGCCCCUGUGCCUGUUUGCAUGAUGUAGCAAGAAGCAGAACAGAGAAUGAGAGGAUGACAGAACAAGAAGCAAGAAGCAGAACAGGAGUAGUAACAUAUCAUACUCUUGGAUAAUGCAGCACUAUAAAUUCCUGAUGACACCCAAGCCCAAACUCGGACAAAGAGAGAUGACAGAGAAUGAGAGGAGCACUGAAGUGGCUCUUAAUGUAUGUAGCUCUUAGUGUCAGCCAUCUCCUACUUAUAGCCAGGCCUGGCCUUCCGGCAGGUCCAAAGCAGUAAUUCAACUUGAUUUCACUGUCCUUUUUACUCUUAAAAAUAAGGGGAAAUCAUGUUCUUGCAGGUACUCAGCACCAAGUACUUGCAGCCAAUCAAGUGAUCAGCUACCAUGUGUGCGCUCUGCUGUCUGCAUUAAGAAAGCAUAUCGCUGAAAACAUCAGUCCAUGGUCGUCCUACUAUGAGCUAGCGCACUUGUCAGUUGUCACCUAUCAGUGGAUGUAUCCUUUUCUCUGUAUAUGAAGAUUCUCAUAUGAAUUAGUAAAUGCUUGCUGCCUAUGUUAGGCCAUGUUUAGUUACACCUAAAUUCCCAACUUUGACACUAUGCAAAAA